GUAGGGUGCAAGCGUUAAUCGGAAUUACUGGGCGUAAAGCGUGCGCAGGCGGUUAUGUAAGACAGGUGUGAAAUCCCCGGGCUUAACCUGGGAAUUGCAUUUGUGACUGCAUGGCUAGAGUGUGUCAGAGGGGGGUAGAAUUCCACGUGUAGCAGUGAAAUGCGUAGAUAUGUGGAGGAAUACCGAUGGCGAAGGCAGCCCCCUGGGAUAACACUGACGCUCAUGCACGAAAGCGUGGGGAGCAAACAGGAUUAGAUACCCUGGUAGUCCACGCCCUAAACGAUGUCUACUAGUUGUCGGGUCUUAAUUGACUUGGUAACGCAGCUAACGCGUGAAGUAGACCGCCUGGGGAGUACGGUCGCAAGAUUA
rnacentral:rRNA from 1 species